rnacentral:rRNA from 1 species
AACGAACGCUGGCGGCACGCCUAACACAUGCAAGUCGAACGAGACCUUCGGGUCUAGUGGCGCACGGGUGCGUAACGCGUGAGAAUCUGCCCUCUGGUUCGGAACAACAGUUGGAAACGACUGCUAAUACCGGAUAAUGACUUCGGUCCAAAGAUUUAUCGUCUGAGGAUGAGCCCGCGUCGGAUUAGCUUGUUGGUGAGGUAAAAGCUCACCAAGGCGACGAUCCGUAGCUGGUCUGAGAGGAUGAUCAGCCACACUGGGACUGAGACACGGCCCAGACUCCUACGGGAGGCAGCAGUGGGGAAUAUUGGACAAUGGGCGAAAGCCUGAUCCAGCAAUGCCGCGUGAGUGAUGAAGGCCUUAGGGUUGUAAAGCUCUUUUACCCGGGAUGAUAAUGACAGUACCGGGAGAAUAAGCCCCGGCUAACUCCGUGCCAGCCGCCGCAGUAAAAC